rnacentral:rRNA from 1 species
AACAAAUGCCCUGCUUCCAGGAAAAGCCUCUAAGCAUCAGGUAACAUCAAAUCGUACCCCAAACCGACACAGGUGGUCAGGUAGAGAAUACCAAGGCGCUUGAGAGAACUCGGGUGAAGGAACUAGGCAAAAUGGUGCCGUAACUUCGGGAGAAGGCACGCUGACACGUAGGUGAAGUGAUUUACUCAUGGAGCUGAAGUCAGUCGAAGAUACCAGCUGGCUGCAACUGUUUAUUAAAAACACAGCACUGUGCAAACACGAAAGUGGACGUAUACGGUGUGACGCCUGCCCGGUGCCGGAAGGUUAAUUGAUGGGGUCAGCGCAAGCGAAGCUCCUGAUCGAAGCCCCGGUAAACGGCGGCCGUAACUAUAACGGUCCUAAGGUAGCGAAAUUCCUUGUCGGGUAAGUUCCGACCUGCACGAAUGGCGUAAUGAUGGCCAGGCUGUCUCCACCCGAGACUCAGUGAAAUUGAACUCGCUGUGAAGAUGCAGUGUACCCGCGGCAAGACGGAAAGACCCCGUGAACCUUUACUAUAGCUUGACACUGAACAUUGAGCCUUGAUGUGUAGGAUAGGUGGGAGGCUUUGAAGCGUGGACGCCAGUCUGCGUGGAGCCGACCUUGAAAUACCACCCUUUAAUGUUUGAUGUUCUAACGUGGACCCGUAAUCCGGGUUGCGGACAGUGUCUGGUGGGUAGUUUGACUGGGGCGGUCUCCUCCUAAAGAGUAACGGAGGAGCACGAAGGUUGGCUAAUCCUGGUCGGACAUCAGGAGGUUAGUGCAAUGGCAUAAGCCAGCUUGACUGCGAGCGUGACGGCGCGAGCAGGUGCGAAAGCAGGUCAUAGUGAUCCGGUGGUUCUGAAUGGAAGGGCCAUCGCUCAACGGAUAAAAGGUACUCCGGGGAUAACAGGCUGAUACCGCCCAAGAGUUCAUAUCGACGGCGGUGUUUGGCACCUCGAUGUCGGCUCAUCACAUCCUGGGGCUGAAGUAGGUCCCAAGGGUAUGGCUGUUCGCCAUUUAAAGUGGUACGCGAGCUGGGUUUAGAACGUCGUGAGACAGUUCGGUCCCUAUCUGCCGUGGGCGCUGGAGAACUGAGGGGGGCUGCUCCUAGUACGAGAGGACCGGAGUGGACGCAUCACUGGUGUUCGGGUUGUCAUGCCAAUGGCACUGCCCGGUAGCUAAAUGCGGAAGAGAUAAGUGCUGAAAGCAUCUAAGCACGAAACUUGCCCCGAGAUGAGUUCUCCCUGAGACUUAGAGUCUCCUGAAGGAACGUUGAAGACGACGACGUUGAUAGGCCGGGUGUGUAAGCGCAGCGAUGCGUUGAGCUAACCGGUACUAAUGAACCGUGAGGCUUAACCUUACAACGCC